GGUCGAAUGGUGUAGUUGGUUAUCACGUCAGUCUAACACACUGAAGGUCCCCAGUUCGAACCUGGGUUCGAUCA
rnacentral:tRNA from 2 species